GGUUGUUGAGAAAAAACAGAGGCUGUGCUGUGGUUUUUAGUUUAUUAUUAAUUGUAUUUUUCAGUGAAAUAGAACCGGUGGCCUUUCUUGGGAGCCCCUUCCCCCUCGCCGCCCCCUCGCCGCCUGCCCGGCAACAGGUUCCCAAGCAAACAUUUCCUUCCUGCUUGGCUGAGUGGAGGCCCGGCUCUGAUUUCAUCUCAUUAGUGGGAACCGUCCACCACUGGUGAGCGCAGCCGGAACUGGUUGCCAUGGAGACGCCUGUUUAUUGAGCUCCUGAGAUAUGAGCCACUUUCUCUAUGAAUAAGACAACUGGGAAGAAACAGACUUGGUCAAUAUGUUCACUGAAGAUACACAGCCUAUUGUCUGUUGGUCACUAUAUAGUCUUCUUAGGUCACUUGAAGGUACUGUAACAAAGUGUCAGUGUAACCAGGGGACAGAAGCUAUGAAAUUGAUUUUUAUAUAUACUUGCUGAGAGACAGUGUGAUGGUUGGAGAGUUUAUCUCAUGCAAGAAAACACAUUUAUUAUCGACUGCGUGAAUAUUUUUUAAAAGAUGUGAGAAAAUUGAGUUGAGAUUCUUCUGAGAUUGGGAUUGGUUUAUUCAUUUUUCAAGAAGAGAAGGUAAACAAUCAAGUUCUACUUGAACAACGUAAUUACAAAAUAAACAAUACAGAAUUUUCCAAGAUUCAUUAGGCUGCUGUAUAGAAUUUGGGGGCAGAAACUUCAUAUGGCAUCCUCACAACAAUACAAUGGAACAUUCCUGUUUGCUGGUGAUCAAGAUGAUAACCAUAGGAAGAUAAAAUACAUUUUUAAAUGGUUAGUGAGCCACUUUAUUAUAGGCUAAGAACAAUAUUGGUUUCCAUGUCUAUCACCUUUGAAGAAAGCAAUGUGCUGCAAAGCUUUAGCACUCUCACUCACAGCCAUUAGUCAGAGAUCACUGUUUUUCGUGGGAGAUAAGCAGAGCCAGCCUUGGGGAUAUGAGAUGGGUAUUCCUCCUGGGCACUGACCUGAAAGGUCCUGAGCUGAGUUUGGAGUCAAUCGUGCAAUUUACUUCAUGUGUUCUCAGAUACAAAAAGAUCUGUUGCACUUUCUGGCAGAAUGCAGAAAAUGCAGUUCUGCUCAAGUCCCUUUUUCUUUAAUCAUUUCUUUCAAGAGUUACCAGGACAGGAGCAUCUCUGAAAUUGUACACCCAAAAUCUUUGAGGUGGAGUGCCUGGUAAUGUCAUACUGAUGGGCGUAGGAUAUGGUGGUUUCAUUAAGCACAGCAAGUCAAAACAUAAAAUAUACCAGUCUAACAAAAGAGACACAGGAGGUAGGGAAAAAGAAGAGUCCUCUGGAGAGUCUACAGCAGCCAAUGCAAAGGAGCCUGAACCAAUGGGAGCCAUUUAAAAAUAGAAUGGAAAACAAACUUUUUUUCCCAAAACAGCUCUGUUCCCCUGAGAUUCCAAUUCCUGAGAUUUACUAUUUGAAUAAAAAAAUAUUUGGAGCUUCUGUUCUGGGGUUUAUCCCCAUAUAGCUAUGGGAUGAGAGGCCUUUGGAUCCUGCAGAUUGGGAGUCUCAUUUUGCUCAGACCAUGCUCCCAGUCUCCUUUCUCUAGCAGCCCAGCUCCAAAAAAGGAGGGAUGUUGGAAUUACCAUAUGGGUGGGUGGGGUGCAUUACAUUCUCAACCCAUUUGUUAGACACAAUGAGGUUGCUACCUUAACCAAUGGAGCCUAAGUAGUGCUGCAGCACAUGCCAUUUUUCUCUCCCACAACAGAAGGGCCUCUGACACGACUGGUCUGGAUCCGGAGCAGACACAAAUGCCUGGUUCUGCGAAUUUCUUUCUUUUUCUUUUUUUUUUUGAACCAGGCAUUGUGGGCAGGCUGCCUUGGAUGAUUUCCCUGGGCAAUCUGUUCACGAUACUUGGCCAGUUCCUUGAAGGAUAGUACUGGCCACUUUAUGAACCUGGUGCUGCCCUCCACAGAGCCCAUCUACUUGUUCCCUUUAUCAGUUUCAGAAAGUGGACAAUUGUUUCAGCAGAAAUAAGAGAUGGGUGCAUAUAGCAAUGAAGGGUCCAUGGCUUUUCUUUGGUCAGUUUUGCAGUCCUUCCCACCCAACUUGGCACCUCAGCUUCUCACCCUGGCCCUGAGGUAAACUGAGGCAGGAAAAAAAAACACUUAGUGGGGGGCAAUGAUGGUCCAGACAUACCAGUGGUGCUUUUUCUGCAUCCUAAUUCUUUCACACACUAUGUGUGCCUUGAUUGAUAGCAUGCCAGGAGCUGGUGUGCUUGAGGGCAUUUCCUAUCCAGACAGGCAGCAACUCAUUAGAGUUGUUUCAAUUCAUACAGGUGUGACUGCCAUGAGGAACGAACACAAUCAGUUUCUUUACAGAUCCAAGGGAGAGCUUGGAAGGUGUUUCCUGGUUCCAUUGCUCAUUAGGAUUGUCUUCUUUUGCUGGCCAGGUGCUGCAACACUUAUCACUGUGAAGAGAUAAAGAGGCCAUAGCAAAAUAUUAUCCUUUUCUUCCUUAUCAUAGAACCUGGCAAGAGGGACCUGUCAAGUUAUCCUUGUUUAUGUGACUGUUUUUGGAUCCUAAUGUGAAGCACAAAUUGUUUGCUCUUCAUGUCUAUAUAUCAAAAGCCAUUUUAAUCCAGUGACUGUCUCUUAAGGAUUCAAUUCUUCUUCCAAACUUAUACUCUUCCUCAGGUAGAAAAUGCUUUAAUGGUACUUGAGUCCACAGCUUCCACACUCAUAAACAUGAUAGAAUGGGGAACUUCUCAAUUUAAAAUUUUCCCCUACAUCUAGUAUGUAUAUAGUGAAAUAGAAUAAUAGAAGCAUAGAGUUGGAAGAGGCCACAUGGGCCAUCAAGUCCAACCUCCUGCCAUGCAGGAAAGGCACAAUAAAAAUACUUUUAAUCAUCAACCAAAUCAGACUUAAACAAAAGGAAAGAAGUGUUUAUCCUUUUCCAAGAAGCAAACAUUUUGCAUCAUCCCAAUUGCCAGCAAUUAGUGAAGGUUCCAUGAAAAAAGGUGUAACAGAAAGGUUUCUAUAUGGAAGCAUAUAUUAUGGGGUGAUAAUCCUGUGAAGCCUUGGGUAAACGCUCACCAGCCUCAAAGUAUUGCUAUUGGUACUAUUGGCUUUCAGUCAUGACAAAACAAUCUUUGUAUUUCAAAAUAGGGAACCUCUUUUAGCCUGAGAAUCCAGUUCAGUUUCAGAGAGAUUUUUGGUUUUGCAUUGUAUUAGUGCACCAUAGGUGUAGCUACAGGAAGGAGUCAAAUGAGGGUAUUGAGUCAAAUGAGCGCGGCUUGUGGGGACGAGGGAGCGGGCCUUCUCCAUGGUGGCCCCUUGGCUCUGGAACUCCCUCCUCAGGGAGAUCAGGCAGGCACCCACCGUGGCAGCCUUCAAGAAAGAUCUGAAAACCUGGCUCUUCCAGAAUAAUAAUAAUAAUAAUAAUAAUAAUAAUAAUAAUAAUAAUAAUAAUAAUAAUAAUAAUAAUUUUAUUCUUGUAUCCCGCCCCAUCUCCCCGUAGGGACUCGGGCGGCUCACAUGGGGCCUUGCCCAACAUCACAAUAUAAAAACAAAUCAAAACACAUAAAUUUACAACAAUAAAUCAACAAUAUCAGUAAAACCAUCAUAAAAACAAUAUUGCAGGAAAAAGCGUUAAAAACAGAUAUAAAACACAAGUCUAGCCCAAAGGGUGAAUGUGUCAAAUUGGGAGGAGGUAGUUACGUAAUUGUAAGUACUAGAAAUGACAAUAAUGACAAUAAGAAGGUGAAUCAGUGGGUCUAUUAUUAUGUAGGCAGACAACUUGAACCAACAGUAUGCUUUCAACAACUGAUCAUAAGAAUUAUCUCCUCAGCAUUGAUAAUAUUGGGCCUAAUGUAUUGUUCUUUCUGCCCUUAUUUGGUAAUUACUCUCCUUGUUUAUCCCACCUUGAAUUCUCCUUUUUACUACAGCACCUUUAUCUACCUCUUUAGAUUCUAAUCAUGCACUUUUUGCACUACUGCCCAGCCUUUUUAUUAUCUUAACCUGUUGCAUUGUUUUAUUCUGGCAGUUUUACUUACCAUUAUAUUGUUGUUAAAUGUUGACCUGUGUAAUGUUAAAUGUUAAUGUUUUUAUUGUGAAUGAAUUUUUAUUUUGUUAUUGUGGAAAUCUGGACUUGGCCCCAUGUUAGCCGCCCCGAGACCCCGUGGGGAGAUGGAGGUGGGGUAUAAAAAUAAAGUGAUUGUUAUUAUUAUUAUUAUUAUUAUUAUUAUUAUUAUUAUUAUUAUUAUUAUUAUUAUUAUUAUUGCCCCCUGUGAGAGUGUCACAUCUUUGUUUCCAAUGAAAAAACCUCUUCCUAUCCCACUAUUGUGGCCACCAACUGUGACAAUCUUGAAGAUAUGCUCAUGGCAUAUAUGGAAAUAGAAGGUAUUCUAAAAUCCAAAGCACUUCUGGUCCCAAGCAUUUCAGAUAAGGAAUACUCAAUAGGUAUAACUCUAGGCCCCUUCCACACAGCUGAAUAAAAUCCCACAUUAUCUGCUUUAAACUGGAAUAUAUGGCAGUGUGGACUCAGAUAACCCAGUUCAAAGCAGAUAUUGUGGGAUUUUCUGGCUAUGUGGAAGGCCCCCCAGACUCACGUCUAGCAUUUCUUAUUCUCGCACACACACUCAUAUUCUAACUCUGAUUCUAACUCUGACCCGGAUUAAUUUUCCUAACCUCUCAAACUCCUGAACAUUCACUCAACUUUCUCUAAUUAGGUAUGAUAUACACCUUUCUUUAAAAAAAUCCCCAGUCAAUCCCAACAUUUGGUACUCUCAUCUCUCUCAACAGAUCCUUUCCUUAUUGCAUCUACUAUAUAUUGCAUACAUGAACAAUAAGAAAUGAAUUACCCCCAAAGUCCAUAACAUCACAUACCCCAGUAAGAAUUCUACUUCUGCCAUGACAUUUUCUUUCAGUUGGCAAACAUCUAGCAUUACAAUUACCCGAAACUUAAGUUGAGGGUUUAGAAACAUAGGUCUCAAAAUAAAAGAGGCAGGCAAUGGAAAACAAUAAAUGUUGGAUAAGUCCAAUGUCUAAAUCUUCAGUGGUAGAAAGUGAUGAGAACUGGUGGAAAAUUUAAUGGGGAACAGAAUUUUUAUGGGAGACAAUGUCCUCAUUUUGCCCUGCUAUAGCUACACCCCUCAGUUAGUGGGGAAAUAAAUGUGUUUGUGUGUGUGCUUUCAAGUUCAUUCCAAUUUAUGGCAAUACUAAAGUGAACUUAUAAUGGACUUUUCUUGACAAGAUUUGUUCAGACAGGAUUUGUCUUUGCCUUCUUCUAAGGCUGAGAGAGCAUGCCUUACUGAGGUUAUCUGCUGGCUUCCAUUACCAAAUGAGGUUUUAAACCAAUGCUCAAAUCACAGCAGCACACUUUAGUGUAAACUUCUAUUGCCAGACCAAUGCAGUAGAUCUCAACUUGUGGGUCUCCAGGUAUUUUGGUCUACAACUCCCAGAAAUCCCAGCCAGUUUAUCAGCUGUUAAGAUUUUUGGGUGUUGAAGGCCAAAAUAUUUGGGGACCCACAGCUUGAGAAUCACUGUUUUAGUGUAAAACCUGUAACUGAGACUUACUUGUGACCUUUUAGACGGUAGGGGGUGCUGGGAAACUUCUUAACACUGGGUCAAUGGGAGGUUUGUUAUUAUUUUAACUGCUGCCAUGUUGACUUUGAUCUAAAGUGACCCUAUGAGAGACAGAUCGGAAUCCCAGGAGAGACAGUUUCAGGGCCCGAGGUCCCACAUCCCUCUGCAAUAUUUUGCAGUAUUACAAACACCCAUACAUUUUGAAACAUAUAGAUUGCAUGUGGUGAUCAAGCGUCAGUUUUUUCUUUCUGUUAUCAACAAUAAACAGCAGUUUCCUGGCUUGUGUACACACAAUAAAACAAACAACAACAAAGCUCUAUACAUGAGGCUGUUUGCUUCAUUUCACAUGGAAGAAGGUUCCAAUGUGUGUUUCCUUCCAUGGAUAUGAAGAGACAUGCACACAUGAGUUGCCCUCCUCAGACCUGUGAGAAAUCUGCCAGCCUUGUUUUCCCCACGAUGCCACUAACAUCCUUAUCUUUCCCAGUCCUGCACUUAGUUGUAAUACUUUGUCUCUCUUCUUCCAUAGAAAUGUAAGUGUGCAUUUUGCACAGAUUUUAAAUAUUUACUUUUGCAUAUAUUUCAUCUCAUUGACAAUUUUAAUGCAUUUUUAAUUGACUAAGGUUGUGCACAUUUUUCAGAUACAGGAUUUUUUGUUUGUUUGAUGUGUGCAUUUUACAAAUAAAUGCAUAGUUUUUAUGUAUUUCUCUUUUGCCUGAAGCUGUUGGAUUUCCAGACAAUAUGCACUUUAUCCUGUCACUAAUCUCAGGAAGCACAAAAUGGAUAGUCCCUAUGAAAAUGUGAACUCAACAAAUUUCUUUUAUAUCCCUGUCUUCAAGCCAGCAUCUGGAUCUGUACUCCAACUGUUCUCUUCUAAAAGGAGAAAUCCUGUCAAUUAACUCUUUGGAAGCAGAGGCAGGGGAAUGGAAUUGAGUCUACAAAAUAAGAAAUAUACUGAAGUUUCUUUUAAACUGCCUUUUAAAUGGUCUUGUUAACAAUUCUGUCAGAAGCAUUCAAAAACCAAAUUUGGAAAAUACAAUUUAAUCAGUAUGUUGUGAAAUGUAUAAAAUUUGGGCACAUUAUCUCCCUUCCCAAACACAAAUGUAACUUGCAUUGAUAUUUUGAAAGAGUGCUUAUGGGGUGUAGAACUGGAACCAAAUCUCACAUUAUUGUUAUAUUUUUCUGAACUGACUCUGACUUAUAGUGAACCUGUUGUUAAUUUCCAUAAAGUCAGUUUCAACUCAUGGUGACCUAUGAACCCCAAGAUACUCUGUUAUCAAUAGCCCUGCUGCUCAGGUCUUGCAGACUCAGGGCUGAGCUUUCCUUGAUUGAGUUUAUCUACUUGUAACAGAGUCUUCCUCUUUUCCUACUGCCUUCUACCUUAUCAAGCAUUUUUGUCUUUUCUGUUGAGUCAUUUUUCCUUAAGGUAUGGUUAAAGUACAACAGCCUCAGUUUAGUUAUCUUGGCUUUUAGCAGUCCAAGGUAUUUAUUGGACUCUUCUACGUUACCACAUAUCAAAUGAGUUGAUUUUCUUCCCAUCAGUUUUGUUCACUGUGCAGUUUUCACAACCAUACAUAGAAAUUGGAAAUAUAAUGGCACUGACAAUUUUGACCUUGGUAUUCAAUUAUACGGAUAUCUUUACACUUCAGGAUUCAAGAAGGAUACUGACAAGCUGGAACAUGUCCAAAGAGCAACGAAAAUGAAAGACAAGCUCUAUGAGGAGAUGCUUAGGAAGUUGAGUGUGUUUAGCAUCAACAUGAUGAGAGAAGACAUGAUAGUCAUGUUUAAAUAUUUGAAAGGUUGUCACGUUGAGAAGGGGGAAAACAUGUUUCAUUCUGCUCUUGAGAAUAUGGAGCAGUGGACUCAAAUGAUUCUAUGUUAUCUAGUUCUUUCACAGCUUCUUUUCCAAGACCCAGUCUUCUGAUUUAUUGACUGUAGUCUCCAUUCUGAUGAAUGGUUGAGUCAAAGAAUGGAAAAUAUGGAAUCAUUUCUUCACUCUCUAAAAUUAGGUAAAUAAUAUGUAGUUGUUAUUUUUGCUUUUUAAAUGUUCAACUGUAUGCCUACCGGUUCACAUAUGAUGUGUUCAGUGUACAAGUUAAACAGAAAGGGUGAUAAGAUGCAGCCUUGCCUCACCCCCUUGCCAAUUGGAAAUCAUCCAUUUCUCCAUUUUCUGUCCUGGUAGUAGCCUCUUAUCCUGAGUACAGCUUAAGUAUCAGGGCAAUUAAAUGCUUUGGCACACCUAUUUUUUAAAAGUGAAGCAAAGUUUCUCAUGGUUUACACAAAGACAUUACUAUAAUCUAUAAAGCAUGGUUUCCUUCUUUUUUUUGAUGCAGUCCGUUAUCUAAUGUAGGAUUGCCUUAUGGUCCCUAGUGCCUCUUACUUUUCUGAACUCAGCUUGGAUAUUUGACAUUUCUCUCGCCAUAUAUGGUAUAUGUCUUUGAUAUACAAUUUUGGGCAUCAUUUUACUUGCAUGGGAGAUUAAUGCAAUGGUCCUGUGAUUAGUGCAAUCUCUGGCAUCUCUUUUCUUGGAUAUUGGAAUGUAUAGUGAGCAGUUCCAAUCUAUGGGCCAAUAUCUUGUCUUCUAGAUUUGUUGAUAGCAUUCAGUUUAAACGUGUGCCAAAGAAUAUACAAAACUGCUUGACAGUUUGAUGUUUACCAUUGACAGAGAGCUAGCAGCUCCUAUUUGUGAUAUAUGGGAGAUAGUGCCUGCUUGAGUUUUUUUAAAAUGGCUGUUUUGUUUAGUAAUGCUUAGCUCUAUUGUGACAAAUAAAUGAUAUGAUUUUGACUUAGAGCUCUAUAGCUCUAUAUUCUAAAUACAGAGCUUUAUACAUUUACUCUUAAAUUUUUAUAUAUAUUGUCAUUGUUGUAAGAUACCUUGAGGUUUAAAAAAAGAUUUUUAAGAAGCACAAUAAACCAUUUAUAUAAAUACA